rnacentral:rRNA from 1 species
UACAGAGGGUGCGAGCGUUAAUCGGAAUUACUGGGCGUAAAGCGUGCGUAGACGGUUAUCUAAGUCGGAUGUGAAAGCCCCGGGCUCAACCUGGGAAUUGCAUUCGAGACUGAAUAGCUAGGGUACGGUAGAGGGAAGUGGAAUUUCCGGUGUAGCGGUGAAAUGCGUAGAUAUCGGAAGGAACAUCAGUGGCGAAAGCGACUUCCUGGACCAGUACCGACGUCAGGCACGAAAGCGUGGGGAGCAAACAGG